rnacentral:rRNA from 1 species
UACAGAGGGGGCGAGCGUUGUUCGGAAUUACUGGGCGUAAAGGGCGCGUAGGCGGCCUCUUAAGUCGAGCGUGAAAUCCCCGGGCUCAACCCGGGAACUGCGUCCGAUACUGGGGGGCUUGAAUCCGGGAGAGGGAUGUGGAAUUCCAGGUGUAGCGGUGAAAUGCGUAGAUAUCUGGAGGAACACCGGUGGCGAAGGCGGCAUCCUGGACCGGUAUUGACGCUGAGGCGCGAAAGCCAGGGGAGCAAACGGG